UGUAUUCUUACAGCUGUCUGUGGGUGUAGAUAAGAACCUGUUCAGUGUUUCACAUGGUGCUGUGGAGUCUAUGGGAGUCACACUGCUCAUAAUCAUGAUUAUAAUCACCAUUCUUCUGUGUGCUCUCGUAAAUAAGGUCAAAAGCCAAACUAAUGAUGUUAUUCCUGCAAAGAUCCUGGUCCAACAGAAAACUAUAAGCGAGAACAGUGACCUUUACGUGACCUGCAGCACAUUUGGGCUCAAGGAGCAGAUCACGGUUUAUGUUUAUUUGUGUAACGGUGACCUUUGUAUCGAGAAAACGAAGCAGAAGCGGGAUCAAGAUGACACCAUCUUCAUCAUACGCAGAGUUGGUCUUCAUCACAGUGGAAACUACAGCUGGUGUUUACUCCAUAAACAAUGAUUCGCUUUCCAAAGUAGCCCAGAGAGGACUCAACGUCAUUCAGAUUCUGG